UGAGGGCACUAUAUAUUUUUAUUCUUAUGAAAUUAAGAUUUAUUUUGGUAAAUAUAAUAUAUUAGAUUGUUUAAAAAGUUAUGUAUAAAAAUAUUUAGUUAAAAACUUGUUAGUUAGGUUUCAAAUAUUUUAUAAUUAAUGAUAUCAAAGAAAAUAUUUUUUAAUAGAAAUAAGUGCGUAAGUUUAUAGCUUUUUAUAUGUAGUCCAUAUAUUAGACAGAAAAGAAAUGAACUAAGGGUGCGUUUGGUUCGCGCUAUCUUUUAAAGAUUCCUAGUAAUCCAAUGGGAAUAAAAAAAUAUGACGGUAUUUGGCUAAACGCAUUAAGUAAUCUAGUUGGUAAUAUUGGAUUCACUUGGGAAUAAGAUUCACUCCAAAGUACUAAUCUCAUUCCCUUGAGGGAGGGUGGGUAUUCUCAUAUUAAUGGAUUGGGGUAAUCAUAAUAUGACUAAUCUCUUUCUUUUUUCCUAUCCGCUGGCUAAUUGAUAUUAUUUUUCUUUACACUCUAAUCUUAUAUCUCUCUCUAAAUUUAUUUUUCUCUCUAAAAUUCAACUUUUUUUUUCUCUCUCUAAACUAAGCUUUCUCUCUCUCUCUCUCUCUCUUUCUAAAAUUUCAACUCUCUCACUCCCUCUAAUUUCGACUAUAUUUUUCUUUCUAUUUUUUUAAUUAUGCUCUCUCUCUCUAACUUAUACUCUCUCUCCCUUUUUUCUAAAAAAAUAUUGAAACUUUUGGUAACAUUAUCUAAAAUUAGUUAAAUAAAUAAAUUAAUUAAUUGUAUAAUUUUUGUAAUAUUAAAUAACAUGGCUAAUUAAUAUUACUGUGUGAACCAAACACAGGAAUUCCACAUUCUUAGUAAUAGGAUGAAUAGUAAUAAGAUUCUCGAAUAUCUUUUAUUCCUAGUAAUCUUUUAUAAUGCGAACCAAACGC
rnacentral:lncRNA from 1 species